GAUGAACGCUGGCGGCGUGCCUAAUACAUGCAAGUCGAGCGAACAGACGAGGAGCUUGCUCCUCUGACGUUAGCGGCGGACGGGUGAGUAACACGUGGAUAACCUCCCUAUAAGACUGGGAUAACUUCGGGAAACCGGAGCUAAUACCGGAUAAUAUAUUGAACCGCAUGGGUCAAUAGUGAAAGACGGCUUUGCUGUCUCUUAUAGAUGGUUCCGGGCCGGAUUAGCUAGUUGGUAAGGUAACGGCUUACUAAGGCAACUAGGCGUAGCCGACCUGAGGGGGUGAUCGCCCACCCGGGAACUGAGACGGGGUCCAUAGUCCUACGGGAGGCAGCAGUAGGGAAUCGUCCGCAAUGGUCGGGAGCCUUGCGGAGUAACGCCGCGUGAGUGGUGAAGAUCUUCGGAUCGUAAAACUCUGUUAUUAGGGAAGAACAAAUGUGUAAGUAACUAUACACGUCUUGACGGUACCUAAUCAGAAAGCCACGGCUAACUACGUG
rnacentral:rRNA from 1 species